GCUAAAGGAGAUGGAGAUGGAAACUACGACUGGGACCGGGGCCGAGACUGGGCGUUAACUGCGAAGUAAUUGCGUUUUGGCUAUGCGAGUACAUAAAUUGGAUUUGAAAUUUGUACACAUGUUGAUGGAUUCCUAUAGCCAGCUCAUGCCAGGGGUACCUGGCUGACUGACUGGCGGACGGUCACGGUCCCAGGACUGCCGCUGUGCCUUGGAUAUAUGAUAGCAUCAAUUUUCAAAAACAUUUGAUGAUUUCUACUGCGUGUGUCGAUCGUUAACGAUAUCUUGUCCAGGCCUGUCAAAUGCGUCUACGAGGCACCUGAAAACUGCUGAUAAACAAAUAAGCUGUACGAAACAGAAGCCGUAGGAUGCGUUGCAUGGCUUGGGAUAUAAAUUACACCCAAAACCCGUUGCAAUUGAUCCAUAUUUCAUAACCAAAAAUGAACCAAUA